CAACCCCAACAGCAAGAAUUCCAGUCCUGCUGCUGCAAUUGCGGUUGGUUGGCUGCUGCUGAACUCACCUGAAAGCUCCACUAGACUAAAGAGCCUAGACGGGUCACUCAUGUGGCUGGCAGUGCAUAUUGGCUGCUGAGUGUGAUGCCUAUCUGACCUCUCCGUGUUAUCCGGAGUGCUCACAACGUGGUAGUUGGUCCCAAGACACACAGGCGAAUACUACAAAGCUUCUUAGGACCUAGCCUUGGAGGCCCUAGAAUACAAAUUCUGCUCCAUCCUAUUGGUAAAGCAAGUCAUUGUGACCAGCACAAAUUCAAGAAAUGGGAGAUUCGACUCCAGCUGUUAAUGUAAAGAGCAGCAUGUGCAUGCAGGGAGGAAAGAAACUGAGGGCAUCAUCUUGAAAACUAUCACAUCACAUUAUUAUUCCAACUAAUGAACAUUAUGUUUUAGAUGGGUGGUACUAGCUACUCAUCUCUCCCCCAGAAACCCAAGCUAAGCAUGGACAUAUUGAACAGAAUGUCAGCACCAUUAAAAAAACUCUAGAAAAAUCACAUGUGAUGACUGAGGUUAAUUCAGUCUGU
rnacentral:lncRNA from 1 species